UCUACUGCUUCAAGUCUGCUUUUAUGCAACGGACAUCAGGGAAACUGAUUGGCUAGUCACAGUUGCCCUACUUCCAUUUCAGGACCAAAGGAAAAAACUGUUCCACAGAGAGUACCAAGAGAGCCUCAAGCAAAUCAGGAGGGUAGAUGCUAAACUGAACUUUUCCGAUUCUCGCGAUUUAAACGAAAGGUGACGGGUUGGGGGUGGGGUGGGGUGAUAUAACUAGGCUAUCCAAGUGUCGUCUGAAAAAAAGAAGGUCCUCCUCAGGAAGUAGUCAAAGUAGAGGAUGGGAAACAAACCGGUGUGGCCGAGUGACAAAUCCAGGAUGCUAACCGAGCUUGGAAGUGGAGGGCCCUGGAGGCCAGAGAGCCGAGAAAGGAGAGACCUCGGGCAAACCCUAGGGGAACAAGAACAAGCAGCAACGCAGAAAGACCAAGGCUGCCACAGAGCAGUGUGUAAGGAGACACCACGAAGGGAGCGGCGAGCGAGGAGGCAGCGACAGCAGGAGGGAGACUAGUGCCAGGGGCGACACGCAAGUGGCAACUGCGAAGAGGCACAGGCAGCCGGAGGUGGUAGGACUCUGUUGAGUCAGCACAGUUUCUACUCAGGGGGCACUUGUAGGAUCCCAGCUGCUCCUCGCGCCCCGGGGCCCGUAGCGGAAGAUCGGGCCGGGAAGCUGCAGAAAGGAUGUUAUUGACCCGCCAGCACCGGCCCUUUCCCCAUUUCACAGUCCUCGGCGAGUUCUCUACUGGGAUGCGCGACAGGUUGUAGACGUGAUACAGGCAUAUCAGCUUUACCCUCAUCGUAGCAGUUAGACUGUCGCUGAUUCGGUGAUUGGCCAGCACCUGCAUUACCGUGAGGGCUUUGUUUUGCUCUUUGCAAGAGACCGCUAAAAAAAAUUAAAGCAAAUUUUGUGUGUUAACUUUGGUCUCUGCACGUUUACUGACUUGUUGAUACAGUGUUGAGGGUGGGGGCAUAUCAUGGUGAGCAAAUUUCACCAAGUGUCAUUGUAAACAGUCCCAAAAUAAAUGGGACUGAACUCUAGAACGCAGUGUGCAUAGAAGCCCCUGAGACUGACACCUUUCUGAACCUGCAACUAGAUGAGUUAACAAUAUGUGAAACUGAAGGUAGUCACUUCUACCUGAUUUAUAAUGUAAUUUACCUGAACCUACUGUCAAGGUGUGUACUCUAUUGUGUAUUAGAAACCAGUUUCCAAGGAAGUUGACCAGUAAAUUUUCGGAUUUGACAUGCAGAAUCCUUCCAUCUCUUUUAAGAAGGCACAAAGGCAUUUAAGAAAAGUAAGACCAGCUGAAGUAGAAAUUCCUUCCCCUUUACCAGAGUUCCCCCCCAACCUGUUCCUCUACCUUAACAAUAGUACUAUUGUGUAAGAUGAAAUUUACUUCAUACAUUAAAGUCUCAAAACAUUAAGUAAAGGCAUUACAAACUUUGUGGAAACAGAAUGGUUCAUUUAGGUAAUCAGGCAGAAAUUCAGGAUAAAUCCUGAUUUUACUCAAUUCAGCUAACUGAGACAAAGUAGUUUUGCUGUUGUUUUAAUCUACAUUUGAUACAUAAUUUACAUAUUACUGAACCAGCAAAAUUCUGUUCUCUGCAGCACAAUGAAAUGUGUUACAGAAAUUGACAAAAUAAGCCAUGAAUAGGAAAUAAGAUUGGAAAAUAACUAUCCAGUCUGAGAUAUUAAGGGAAACUAAGACAUACUAGAGACAACAAGGAACCUGGAAAAAGAUAACUAUUCCAACCUGUAAAUAAGAAAACAGUGGAGGCUCAUUAAUAUUUAAGAUACUAGUAAAUUGAAACUGUAAUUUAGGUGUCUGGUUUGAGUAGUUUUCUUUCACAUAUUUUUCCCAUUCCAGAAGCAAGGCAUUUUCACUUAUUUUAAAGGUGGUAAAUUAAGUAUAGACACAACUUGAGGUUUGUACCAACCUGUAAUACGACAUGGAUAUGCAUUUAACAUCGAGAAGUUUGUCUGUAGACCUAGGAGCAAGACAAAAUCAUUAGCUCCAAGUUUUCUCAGCCAGAGUUCUUUCUGUGACCUAAAAAACCUAAUGCUAGCUAGCCUCCAAAGUCCUACCGCACAUCCACCUCUCUGACCUCAUUUCUACUAAGCACUGUUACCAUUACCCUUCUCCUAUAACAGCAUGGCAUGUUCUAGCCCUGGGGCCUUUGCACUGACUUUUCUCUAUCUGGAAGGAUCUUUCCACCAGAUACGUGCAUGGCUAGAUCUCUCACUUAUGUUCCAUCUUUGCUCAGAUGUCACUUUUUCAAGGAAGUCUACUCUGACCAUCCAUUUAAAAUGUUGCCCCUCCCCCAGCAUCCUCAUAAAAGACUCCAAAAGGAAAAGCCCUAAUUAAAAAUGAUUAAAAGCAAAAUCCUUGGUGUUGAAA